rnacentral:rRNA from 1 species
UACGGGGGGGGCAAGCGUUGUUCGGAAUUACUGGGCGUAAAGGGCUCGUAGGUGGCCAACUAAGUCAGACGUGAAAUCCCUCAGCUUAACUGGGGAACUGCGUCUGAUACUGGAUGGCUUGAGUUCGGGAGAGGGAUGCGGAAUUCCAGGUGUAGCGGUGAAAUGCGUAGAUAUCUGGAGGAACACCGGUGGCGAAGGCGGGUCUCUGGGCCGAUACUGACGCUGAGGAGCGAAAGCGUGGGGAGCGAACAGG